rnacentral:rRNA from 1 species
UACAGAGGGUGCAAGCGUUAAUCGGAGUUACUGGGCGUAAAGGGCGCGUAGGCGGUUAUUUAAGUUUAAUGUGAAAUCCCUGGGCUUAACCUAGGAACUGCAUUGAAUACUGGGUAACUGGAGUACUGUAGAGGGUAGUGGAAUUUCCGGUGUAGCGGUGAAAUGCGUAGAGAUCGGAAGGAACACCAGUGGCGAAGGCGGCUACCUGGACAGAUACUGACGCUGAGGCGCGAGAGCGUGGGGAGCAAACAGG